rnacentral:piRNA from 1 species
UACCAUGAUUGGUAAAAAGCAACC